UGGCUCAGAACGAACGCUGGCGGCAUGCCUAACACAUGCAAGUCGCACGCAGUUAAGGGGGCAACUCCUUGAUUGAGUGGCGCACGGGUGAGUAACACGUAGGUAACCUGCCCUUCACUGGGGAAUAACCUGUCGAAAGACGGGCUAAUUCCGCAUACGUCCAAGACUACUCCGGUAGAUUUGGGGAAAGGCGGCCCGCAAGGGCUGUCGGUGAUGGAUGGGCCUGCGUACCAUUAGCUAGUUGGUGGGGUAAUGGCCUACCAAGGCGACGAUGGUUAGCUGGUCUGAGAGGAUGAUCAGCCACACUGGAACUGACACACGGUCCAGACUCCUACGGGAGGCAGCAGUGGGGAAUAUUGCGCAAUGGGCGAAAGCCUGACGCAGCAAUGCCGCGUGAGGGACGAAGGUUCUCGGAUUGUAAACCUCUGUCGGGGGGGACAAAACCUAUAUCGGUUAAUACCCGGUAUAAUUGAUGGUACCCCCAAAGGAAGCACCGGCUAACUCCGUGCCAGCAGCCGCGGUAAUACGGAGGGUGCAAGCGUUGUUCGGAAUUAUUGGGCGUAAAGCGCACGUAGGUGGCUUUAGAAGUCCGGUGUGAAAUCCCUCGGCUUAACCGAGGAAGUGCGCCGGAAACCAUAAAGCUAGAGUAUAGGAGGGGAGAGUGGAAUUCCCAGUGUAGAGGUGAAAUUCGUAGAUAUUGGGAGGAACACCGGUGGCGAAAGCGACUCUCUGGACUAUUACUGACACUAAGGUGCGAAAGCGUGGGUAGCAAACAGGAUUAGAUACCCUGGUAGUCCACGCCGUAAACGAUGGGUACUAGGUGUCGCGGGAUUUGACCCCUGCGGUGCCGUCGCUAACGCAUUAAGUACCCCGCCUGGGAAGUACGGCCGCAAGG
rnacentral:rRNA from 1 species